AUUGAACGCUGGCGGCAGGCCUAACACAUGCAAGUCGAACGAGUGGCGGACGGGUGAGUAAUGUCUGGGAAACUGCCUGAUGGAGGGGGAUAACUACUGGAAACGGUAGCUAAUACCGCAUACCAUCGGAUGUGCCCAGAUGGGAUUAGCUAGUAGGUGGGGGAAAGGCUCACCUAGGCGACGAUCCCUAGCUGGUCUGAGAGGAUGACCAGCCAAACGGGAACUGAGACACGGUCCAUACUCCUACGGGAGGCAGCAGUGUGGAAUAUUGCACAGUGGGCGCAAGCAUGAUGCAGCCAUGCCGCGUGUACGAAGAAGGCCGUCGGGUUGUAAAGUACUGUCAGCUGAGAGGCGUUACCCGCAGAAGAAGCACCGGCUAACUCCGUGCAAGCAGCCGCGGUAAUUC
rnacentral:rRNA from 1 species